CUCCAAGGCUAAAUACUCCUGACUGACCGAUAGUGAACCAGUACCGUGAGGGAAAGGCGAAAAGAACCCCGGCGAGGGGAGUGAAAAAGAACCUGAAACCGUGUACGUACAAGCAGUGGGAGCACGCUUCGGCGUGUGACUGCGUACCUUUUGUAUAAUGGGUCAGCGACUUAUAUUCUGUAGCAAGGUUAACCGAAUAGGGGAGCCGAAGGGAAACCGAGUCUUAACUGGGCGUUAAGUUGCAGGGUAUAGACCCGAAACCCGGUGAUCUAGCCAUGGGCAGGUUGAAGGUUGGGUAACACUAACUGGAGGACCGAACCGACUAAUGUUGAAAAAUUAGCGGAUGACUUGUGGCUGGGGGUGAAAGGCCAAUCAAACCGGGAGAUAGCUGGUUCUCCCCGAAAGCUAUUUAGGUAGCGCCUCGUGAAUUCAUCUCCGGGGGUAGAGCACUGUUUCGGCAAGGGGGUCAUCCCGACUUACCAACCCGAUGCAAACUGCGAAUACCGGAGAAUGUUAUCACGGGAGACACACGGCGGGUGCUAACGUCCGUCGUGAAGAG
rnacentral:rRNA from 1 species